rnacentral:rRNA from 1 species
UACGGAGGGGGGCGAGCGUUGUCCGAAGUUACUGGGCGUAAAGCGCGCGUAGGCGGGUCGAAAAGUCCGCUGUGAAAGCCCGAGGCUUAACCUCGGCGGGUCGGUGGAUACUGUCGGUCUUGAAGGUGCUAGGGGGAGAUGGAAUUACCGGUGUAGCGGUGAAAUGCGUAGAUAUCGGUAGGAACACCAGUGGCGAAGGCGGUCUGCUGGGCUGUUGCUGACGCUGAGGCGCGACAGCGUGGGGAGCAAACAGG